GAGAGAUGAGUAGAUGACUCACGUUGUAUUCGCAAUGUGCUGGUGGGGUUCGACAGUCGUCCGAAUAAAUAGCUGUGCACUGAACUAGAUUAGAUAAGAAGCGGCGGUUAAAGAUCGCGAUCGCGACGAGUCGGCCCAAAACGCCCUUGUAAACUCAAAGGCGACGCGACGCGACAGUAACGGUAACGCGACGGCUGGCCCAAGACUGAAUUAAAAUCAGCCAACAGCUCCCAGCCUCCGUUCAUCAGGGGGUUCUGGCACAAGGCGGAGGGGGGGAUCGGUCUACACGCAUUUAUAGCGCGCGCCAACACACACACACACAUACCAGGUUAUGAUGAAUUUAGAAAGUGAACAUACCAGAACCUGAAGGGCCAGCGGUUGUGACUUCCUGUUUGACAGCGAGUCCUCUCAUGGCUGAAGUGAGCUCAUCGCUGCCCCCAGAUGCCUGCUGCCUGCCACGACUGGUGGUGGCCCGCCCCGGCAGCCCCGCCUGUGGUGCUGGCCCCGGCUGGGCCACUCUAGCCCCUCCGCCCCUUGUCGGCUGAUUGGGCUGUGUGGGUCCUGCGGGCGGCCCCCCGGCCGCUGGGGGCCUCACCCCUCUUCCCCGCCCACGUCCACGACC